UCUCCGUUGGUGAACCAGCGGAGGGAUCAUUACCGAGUUUACAACUCCCAAACCCAAUGUGAACCAUACCAAACUGUUACCUCGGCGGGGUCACGCCCCGGGUGCGUCGCAGCCCCGGAACCAGGCGCCCGCCGGAGGGACCAACCAAACUCUUUCUGUAGUCCCCUCGCGGACGUUAUUUUUACAGCUCUGAGCAAAAAUUCAAAAUGAAUCAAAACUUUCAACAACGGAUCUCUUGGUUCUU
rnacentral:misc_RNA from 1 species